GCUUUAAUGGUGUAAUUGGAUAACAUGCUACUCUGCGAAGGUAGUCAUCUGGGUUCAAGUCCCAGUUAAAGCU
rnacentral:tRNA from 1 species